GCUGGGCAUGGUGGCGUGUGCCUGUAAUCCCAGCUACUGGGGAGGCUGAGGCAGGAGAAUUGCCUGAACCCGGGAGGUAGAGGUUGCAGUGAGCUGAGAUCGUGCCAUUGCACUCCAGCCUAGGUAACAAGAGCAAAACUCCGUCUCAAAAAAAAAAGAACCAGGUACCCUUCUGAGUUGUUUUUUUUUUUUUUUUGAGACAGAGUCUCAUUCUGUCCCCCAGGCUGGAGUGCAAUGGCAUGGUCUCAGCUCACUGCAACCUCUGCCUCCCUGGUUCAAGUGAUUCUCCUACCUCAG
rnacentral:SRP_RNA from 1 species